UACGGAGGGUGCGAGCGUUGUCCGGAAUCAUUGGGCGUAAAGAGCGUGUAGGCGGCCCGGUAAGUCCGCCGUGAAAGUCCAGGGCUCAACCCUGGAAUGCCGGUGGAAACUGCCGGGCUGGAGUCCGGAAGAGGCGAGUGGAAUUCCUGGUGUAGCGGUGAAAUGCGCAGAUAUCAGGAGGAACACCAAUGGCGAAGGCAGCUCGCUGGGACGGUACUGACGCUGAGACGCGAAAGCGUGGGGAGCAAACAGG
rnacentral:rRNA from 1 species